UAAUUUACGGUUACUAGAUGAGUCGCAAAUAUAUAAUUUGACCAACCUCGAUGUAAAAGUCUAAACGCGUGUCGAUCGUGUCAUCGACGUAGUUCUUCAUACUUUGCAACUGCGCGAUUAUGCUUCUCAGACUACCCUGUUGAAUCCUGCGAGGAGGAGGUGCUCCUAAUUGGGAGAGGAUCAUGAAAGCGGCUUCUUCAAUGCUUCGAAGCAGCUCCAUUUCGGACCUGCCACCUUCCAGCCGUGUUAUCUUCCUACACGAUAACGAAAUGCAUAUAUAAUUGACAUGUGAUCCGUAUCAUCUGAUGUAAUACGAAGAAACAAAGGACCAGGACUCACUCGACGAUGCUCCGGUAAUGUUGCUCGAAACGGUCCGCGCUGACUAGGAGUUUGCUCGCGGCGGCGGUAGCCGCAGAAGACAUCAUCUUCAGGUCUCGCGCGUGGACCCCACCGGAAAAUCCGGCCAUCCGGAUUCGCGGUAGUGUCUUGCUCUGCAAGGUACUACUGCACUCAUCCACGGUUUCUAUUCGAAGAUCGGUCAGCCACGCUCUCAAGGACGACGAUUGACGAUAAUUACUGGAAUUCAGCACCUCCCUGCCGGCAGUGAUCGCAUCCGUCGUGGGAUCUGUACUAAGGGUUCGCGAUCUCGCUGAUGAAGAUGACAGCUGAACGCUGUCCUCCGGCGGUUCGGACGCGUACAGAAAAUCGCCCAGACAUUCGCUAUUCUCCAGCGAAACGGACACCUUCGACUCAUCGCUCCGCUCCUCGUUGAUUCUGGAAAAGGAAAAGAAAAUAAUGAGUUCUCGGACGUGUAGAACGAGGAAGCUCCCCGACAAAUAUCCCAGGACGACCUCGAGGUGAUGCGCCACCAGGGUGCAACGCUAUUUUACUUCCAACGGGGUGUUUUCACGACUCAGCGGAGCGAAACGACCCUCCCACGGCUUCGUGGUCGCGUGGCUGCUUGGAGAACCGUAUGGUGUCCGUCGCAACCCCCAUAGGUCUGCUGCUUAAUGGAGAUGCGACGUGAGGCCAUGUGAGACCUUUAUUUGACCUUCGAUCAGGCUGAUCCAGCCUCUCUAACAUGCAAAAUAAUCGAUCUAUGUGUGAAGGCCUCUGUUGCACAGUAGGAGGCGCAGGAAGACGCCUUUUAUUUUACUUGUCAAAGACGAUAAGUCUUGUCCUGGAAGACGAUCCGAGCAGCAUUGGCGUAACCAGGCUCGCGAAAGAAAUUCCAAGGAAGACCGAAAAGCUGGUAGGAAGAUGUUCACGAAAUCACGCCAAUGGUGUUUUUAAGGGCCAGGUGCGUGACUAUCGUUACCCCCGAUAUGUGCGCGAUCGAACGGGGGUCCGGCCCCCUCGGAAACGACUCUCUAUGCAUUUACCCUCUAUUCUCCCUUCCCAGAUACGCGAUGUGGAGGCACGCGCCGUUCGGGACAUCUGCGUCUCUAAAACGCCCGCCGCAAUGCGUCACGCACGUGAGUUGAUGAAUCACACGCAUUCGUGUCCGUGUUGAACUUUAAAGGAAUUUCGAGAAAUUUUUGGGCACGAAAAUCAGACAGGGAGAGAGUGUAAUUUUGAAUUUAUUGUUUAAUUAAGAGAGGCACAAUACUGAAAUUUGGAUCAAUCGAUGAAUCAUCAUUCAGUCGAGGACAUCGAUGCUGAGAUUUAAAUGGUUCAGAAAAGAGGGAGGGCAUUUAAACUUUCUAUUAUAAAAUCUUUUGCUUUGCCCAGAUAGCAAAAGUUAUUUUGAUGGCAAAAUGAUGCAUUUCGACAUCAAAAUGAUGUCAUAAUAAUUACUGUGGCUCUCUGGGUUGAUUCGACUUCAACUUUUAUUGAAGAUCAAAAAAUGGUGGUAUUUUGCGCUACUAGAAAGACGUAUAGUAUAUAGACAUAAGAAAUCGCGAAUUGUUGUUUGUACAUAUUUAUAAGCACUCGGUGAACGACACGUCAAGGAAAAACCUCGUUAACGAGCUUCGCUAAUUGACGAAGAUCGAGGCUAUCGAUAAGUAUAGGAAAUACCAAAGUCGCUAAUUGGAGAGGCAGUGAUGGCAUAAUCUCGACGUUAUUUCAGUGGUCAGAGAUUGCCAGGCCACGGUCGGUAUUCCUCUUCUUCAUUGUCUACGUGAAAUACGCGUACAUACGCACAUUCGACGAGGCCGCGCGUCUUGUAGAAGCGCAAAGGGGUCCUUGUACGACCCCUAUUGUACACGGAUAAGGGACAGAUGCGUACGAACCGUUACAUGAAAGCGCGUGCGCUGUCUACAUCUGUGGACGUUUGAAUUUCGAUGACAUUUCGAAUUUAGGGGGAACAUUGCACCGAUGAUUGAUUCCUGCAGGAAUAUGUUUAUCUCGAAAUGUUCAGGAUUCCAGAUUAUUCGAAAAUUAAAUCGCGAAACGUGUGAAAAUGUUCAAGUAAUCGAAAUAAAAUGUGUGAUUAUA